GAAGCUGAAAGGUUGAUGUCCUUGCCCACUCCCUAGGUUACUGAGUUGCUAGGUUACAAACAACAUUACAAAAAUACAUUAGGUGGGACAGUAAUGGUCAAACGCUGAAUAAAAGGUCGAUAGUACUUCCUGAAACAAUUACCAUGUUUACUCUUUAUUCUGUCUUAUUUGAUAAAAAGCCUCAUUUUCAGCAUCUAAACUUAGUAUCCUUGAUCACUUUAUUGUCAGAGAAGAGGCUGCUCCGGUCCCCACAAGGCGUCUUCAGAAAAGCUGGGAUUUUCCCAUCCUGCCGGCUCCUCUUUCCAGCAGCUGUGGAAAUCAAUUUUAUCUCCUCUCCCGACAGACAGUAGUUUUCCUAAGAUUUCCAAACCCAAUCUCAUUAUUUCACAAGCCAGCUAUUCGUUAACGAGGCAUCUAGGGGUGAGGAUGACUCACUGUCCGUCUGCGGCUCUGGGAGCCCUGGGAGAAAACGUUUAAUCUUCUGCCUCCACUCAAGUGGCCACUGUCCCUCCACGAUGAUACCACCUCCAGUGAGGCCCUUCCCCACCCACCCAGGCACUGACCCGAAGCUCCCAGCCCUGCAGAAUGGAAGGGAAAGAAGGACUCACUCUCUCCUCUGCUUCUCCAGGUGCCCACGGAGCGUGGCAGCGCAGAGGAGCUCACCGCACCCUCACUCUCCUCCGUGCAGAGCAGAUCCCACUGGCCGCCAGUACUCUUGCUGCCAGGUUCAGAUUUGACAAAUGUCUGGCUCUCUUCCAAGGGCAGAGCCGUUCUUUGUAAAGACAGACUUGCUGUUUGAGACGGGUUUCUGUGAGCCUCGCGGCAGAUCCUGAAGGGUGCACACAGUGGAGGUGUGGGUAAGGCUCCUCGAGCGCCCAUCUCUGGCAUGGAGACCGACCCCGGAUCCUACAACAGCACCCCCGCAGCGCUCAACCUGUCCCACGCACUUGCCGGCAGGGUGCUGGCCAACCAGACGGGCACGCUCUCGGCGCACCAGCAGUAUGCCAUCGGGCUCUUCCUCUCCUGCCUCUACACCAUCUUCCUCUUCCCCAUCGGCUUUGUGGGGAACCUCCUGAUCCUGGUGGUAAACGUCAGCUCCCGGGAGAAGAUGACCGUCCCCGACCUGUACUUCAUCAACCUGGCGGCGGCAGACCUCAUCCUGGUGGCCGACUCGCUGAUCGAGGUGUUCAACCUGGACGAGCAGUACUACGACAUCGCCGUGCUGUGCACCUUCAUGUCCCUCUUCCUGCAGAUCAACAUGUACAGCAGCGUCUUCUUCCUCACGUGGAUGAGCUUCGACCGCUACCUCGCCCUGGCCCAGGCCAUGCGCUGCAGCCUGUUCCGCACCAAGCCCCACGCGCGGCUCAGCUGCGGCCUCAUCUGGAUGGCCUCCGUCUCCGCCACGCUGGUGCCCUUCACGGCCGUGCACCUGCAGCACACCGGGGACCUCUGCUUCUGCUUCGCGGACGUCAGGGAGAUCCAGUGGCUGGAGGUCACCCUGGGCUUCAUCAUCCCCUUCGUCAUCAUCGGGCUCUGCUACUCGCUCAUCGCCCGGGCCCUGGUCAAGGCUCACGGGCACCGGGGCCUGCGCCCCCGGCGGCAGAAGGCCCUCCGGAUGAUCUUCGCGGUGGUGCUGGUCUUCUUCCUCUGCUGGCUGCCCGAGAACGUGUUCAUCAGCGUGCACCUCCUGCAGCCCACGCAGCCGGGCGCCGCACCCUGCCAGCAGUCCUUCCGCCACGCCUACCCCCUAACCGGCCACAUCGUCAACCUCGCAGCGUUCUCCAACAGCUGCCUGAACCCCCUCCUUUACAGCUUCCUCGGGGAGACCUUCAGAGACAAGCUGAGGCUGUACCUCGAGCAGAAGACAAGUGUGUCGACCCUGAACCGCCUGUGUCACACGGCCCUGAAGGCCAUGGUUCCAGACAGUGCCGAGCAGCCUGAGGGGAGGCUCAGCAGUGUGGCGUAGACAGGAGCCACUCAGCACACUCAACACCGCACCGGGGCGAGGCACAGACGGGGCAAGAGCAUGCCAAGGCCUCUCCCGGCCUGGAAGCCCCACCCUCGGGAUCUCAGCACCCGCACUAGUCGCCCAAUGCUGACUGCUCCCGCACAGAGCUGUGCCCACCACCUGUGCUCCCAACUGCAGUCAGGGAUGGUGAAGUGGCCGGGCGACCAGCGUGGCCCUCACGUCCUCUCUGCACAGACUGCAUCUCGCAGCAGCAGACAGUUCUGAGGCUGGCCAUCGCAAGCCAAAAGGAGGGGCGCUGUCGGUGGAAUACCUUAGUUUCAAGGUGGCUCUCCAUGAAUCUGCCCCUUGGGGAAAAAUGAAGACUGAGGCUGAUCUGAGCUGGACACUGGCUGGUAACCUGCUGUGCACACCGAACGUCCUUGCCCACACCUGGGCUCUGCAGGAAAUCUGCUACAUGAACCCUGGCCGCUGGCUCUCAAGCCCGUCUCACUCUGAGCCAUCACCUGGAAUACAGGUGAGUCGCCCAGUCUGCCAGGAGCCUCAGGCUCUUCCAGCGAAGUCACUGCCACAACAAAUAAGAGACUGGACAUCACUCCUGAGAUACAGCCCUGCUCAGAACAUUCCAUCCUUAGCCAACAAUAUGGCAUUUUUCUUUGUUGAUUCAAAAGUAUAAAUCGUCCAGGAAUGAAGAAAACCCCAGCAGGGCACUGUCUCAAGGAGGACACUGGUCUCACCGAGCAGUUCCUUCCAAGAAACAAUGGCCGGUGCCCAGCUGAUUCUGCUCCUCAGCACGGUCACCGAGGCAGUGAGCACAGACAGUGACAGCUGAGCGCGCAGCCGGAGCCUCCAAGCGUAGCAGUGCCCGCGGGAA